AUACGGAGGGUGCGAGCGUUAAUCGGAAUUACUGGGCGUAAAGCGUGCGUAGGCGGUUUGUUAAGUCAGAAGUGAAAGCCCUGGGCUCAACCUGGGAACGGCUUUUGAGACUGGCAGACUCGAGUUGAGUAGAGGGGAGUGGAAUUUCCGGUGUAGCGGUGAAAUGCGUAGAGAUCGGAAGGAACACCAGUGGCGAAGGCGACUCCCUGGACUCAAACUGACGCUGAGGUACGAAAGCGUGGGUAGCAAACAGGAUUAGAAACCCCUGUAGUCC
rnacentral:rRNA from 1 species